rnacentral:lncRNA from 1 species
CUUAAAUAAGAUUUUUUUUUAUGAAAAAACAAAUAUGUAUAAACUAAUUAAGUGAAAUAAUUGAAUUCAGAUUUCUAUCUAUUCAUCUUAAUAUUAAUUAAGGUAAAAACAUUUUUUAGGUUAAAGUGAAAUGAAUAUUUAAAAUUUGAGAAAAAGGAUAACUAUAACUUUUUGGCGUUCAAUAAAAUAAAUCGGGAAGGAGACGCAGAUGAUGACUUUUUCUCAGGCAACAGAAUUUGGAAAAAAUGACACAUUAUGUAUGGAUUAAGCAGCAAGUGUGAGUUGAAAAUAUUAAAAUAAAUGAUAGAAUUAUAAAAUAAAUUACGAGAAGACGGCUUUUAAAAAAUGCUUUCAGAAUAUCAAAAGAAGAAAUCGGGUCACCAUUCGUUUUUCUUGCUAUUAAAAACAUAAAUAGCAAAAUUUUAUUUAGAAAUUGUACUAUUUCUUGAGUAGCAACUCUUAAUACGCCAAUUUAAAAACUUUUAAAAUCAGGCCAAAUAAAUUUACGUUUGUAAAAAUAUUUGUACCUAUGAAAUUAAUAAGUCAAAACCUUAUUCUGUUCAAUAAAAUGAAAAAAAAUAACAUUAGUCAAUUGCAUUCCUGCAUUAAAUUCUGCUAACUUGAUUCAAAAUAUGGACCUACCAUGACGCCUAUUGUUCUACUGUUUUACUAUACAAGUUGGCAAAAUAACCCAUACUACCUAAAAUGAAUAAUGAAUGAUAAAUUUCAGUGCUAGUGACAUUUAUGUUAUAUUGCCAGUGCUAGUAA